GGUAGGAAUACCCGCUGAACUU
rnacentral:rRNA from 5 species